GAUGAACGCUGGCGGCGUGCCUAAUACAUGCAAGUCGAGCGAACGGACGAGAAGCUUGCUUCUCUGAUGUUAGCGGCGGACGGGUGAGUAACACGUGGAUAACCUACCUAUAAGACUGGGAUAACUUCGGGAAACCGUAGCUGAUACCGGAUAAUAUUUUGAACCGCAUGGUUCAAAAGUGAAAGACGGUCUUGCUGUCACUUAUAGAUGGAUCCGCGCUGCAUUAGCUAGUUGGUAAGGUAACGGCUUACCAAGGCAACGAUGCAUAGCCGACCUGAGAGGGUGAUCGGCCACACUGGAACUGAGACACGGUCCAGACUCCUACGGGAGGCAGCAGUAGGGAAUCUUCCGCAAUGGGCGAAAGCAUGACGGAGCAACGCCGCGUGGGUGAUGAAGGUCUUCGGAUCGUAAAACUCUGUUAUUAGGGAAGAACAUAUGUGUAAGUAACUGUGCACAUCUUGACGGUACCUAAUCAGAAAGCCACGGCUAACUACGUG
rnacentral:rRNA from 1 species